rnacentral:misc_RNA from 1 species
UGAGCAUAUUGGAGUUCUAUCUGGGGAGGUUUCCUUUUGCAGUUGGGCGGCAGGGCGAUUGGGCGAGCUUGAUGUGUGCCAUUUGUAUGUCGCAACCACCGGAGGCUCCGCCUACCGCUUCGAGGGAUUUUCGUGAUUUUAUUAGUCGUUGUCUGCAGAGGGAGCCGGCGAGAAGGUGGAUGGCGAAUCAGUUGUUAAAUCAUCCGUUUAUAUCAAGGAAUAGUGGAGGCCAAAGAGAGGUGAAUCAGAGUCUACAUCAACUCUUGCCUCCCCCACGUCCUCUU